rfam:Bacillus sp. MRMR6 scaffold_7, whole genome shotgun sequence.
CGGGCGGUAUCCAUGUGAGCUGCACCUUUCUGUAGGAAAACUAACUAAAAAGGUUUCUGCCUAGAUCCGUAGUACGGACCGGGACAGAGGG